rnacentral:rRNA from 1 species
UGGGGAAUAUUGCACAAUGGGCGCAAGCCUGAUGCAGCAACGCCGCGUGAACGAUGAAGGUCUUCGGAUCGUAAAGUUCUGUUGCAGGGGAAGAUAAUGACGGUACCCUGUGAGGAAGCCCCGGCUAACUACGUGCCAGCAGCCGCGGUAAUACGUAGGGGGCUAGCGUUGUCCGGAAUCACUGGGCGUAAAGGGUUCGCAGGCGGAAAUGCAAGUCGGGUGUAAAAGGCAGUAGCUUAACUACUGUAAGCAUUUGAAACUGCAUAUCUUGAGAAGAGUAGAGGUAAGUGGAAUUUUUAGUGUAGCGGUGAAAUGCGUAGAUAUUAAAAAGAAUACCGGUGGCGAAGGCGACUUACUGGGCUCAUUCUGACGCUGAGGAACGAAAGCGUGGGUAGCAAACAGG